GAUGAAGAACGUAGCGAAAUGCGAUAAGUAAUGUGAAUUGCAGAAUUCCGUGAAUCAUCGAAUUUUUGAACGCACAUUGCGCCCCCUGGCAUUCCGGGGGGCAUGCCUGUCCGAGCGUCAUUUCUGCCCUCCAGCCCGGCUGGGUGUUGGGCGCUGUCCCCCCGGGGACACGCCCCAAAGGCAGUGGCGGCGCCGCGUCGGGUCCUCGAGCGUAUGGGGCUUUGUCACCCGCUCGGGACGGACUCAUCGGCGCUGGUCUUCCUCCAGGCGACCCUUCGGGGCUCGUCUUCCUUCGGUUGACCUCGGAUCAGGUAGGGUUACCCGCUGAACUUAAGCAUAUCAAUAAGCGGAGGA
rnacentral:misc_RNA from 1 species